rnacentral:tRNA from 1 species
GGAGCCGUGCCCGAAUGUUUAAGGACCACUUUGAUAGAGUGAUUUAUAGGGGUUAAAGCCCCCUCAGCUCCU